rnacentral:lncRNA from 1 species
AAUAUGUCCCUUUUGUCUUCUGCUGCAGUCUUUAAUGCAGUGCCUCAUAUUAUGACUACAGAAGCAACUCAAAGCUUUGUUCUCAGCCAAGCCCCACCGAUAAGCCAUGAGACUGCACGCAGCCCUUUAGAACCACUCUGCUGCUGUCCAGACAGAUACAAAACGGGUGGCUGCGCUGCCGCCUGCCGUACCAACGUGCUGCAGCCCCCCCUCAAAGGCAGGCAGGGAGCUGCAGGCUCCACGAUCCGUCUCACCGCCGACGGCGUUUCUGCAACGGUGCCAACUAGUGACUCUUUGGGCUGGUGGCUUCUGGAAGUGGGUGUCUGCCUGCUAAGCCUGCGGCAUCGCUGUUCCAGGGUGCCAGGGCUGUUACGUCUAUGUACCAACAAAAAAGCAACGAAACGACUAAAAAUGUAACAAAUUAUAAAGGCAGUGGUUAAGGUAAGAUUUUAUAAUAACUUAUGUAAAGGUAUUCUUAUAAACCCUUCCUUACACAGUAUAGUACCCAAACAAAUAAUGGUCCCAAUGACAUCAAAUUCCUUCAUUUUGUUUAAAAGUGACCAUGAAAAGGUUUCUGCUUUGCUACCUGAUCUCACCUUUCUCCCCUCAAAAAAAUCAGUGUAAGAGAAACACAUAUAAUACAAUUUUUUGGCAUUGAUUCUAUGCACAGGCCUAUGGUUCAGCCUUGGUAUAACAAAUAUCUGUAGCAGAGGGAAAAAUUCCCUCAAAUAUGAUAAAGAAAUCUUAAUUUUUUUCCUCAAGUGCAAGGCUUGGCAUACCAGUUUGUUUAAAAAUACAUAUAUAUAACACUUCCCCCCCAUUUUAAACUAUUUUAUGAAAACUAAUUCAACUCCCAAAAGUGUUUAUAAAAAUUGAUUAAAAGAACAAAAUAGUUGUUUGGUUACAAUAUAGAAACCAAAGAGUUCAGGGCACGGUAAUGGUACAUUUGAAACCUGUUUCAAUCCAAAUCUUCUAAUAAAACCAAAGUUUGUAUGUUUUGGGAACA